rnacentral:lncRNA from 1 species
GUCGCAUGGACACCGUAUGAGAUUUGAUGGCAGGUGUGUUGCAGUCAGUUAGAAAGUACAUACCCUCUAUUCUGUUUGUCACAGUCCUUGUAACUAGUAUACGCUGGGACAUAAACAAACGUAAAGAAUCUUUAGCAAAGCUUGAGCAAGAACUAGAGGAAAAGAAACGACAGCACAACAUAAGUAAUUAAGAUGAGGACGGGACUAAGACUAAUGUUUGCGAGGCGGUUUUGGCAAGACUGGCUAGCUAUCAUUAUUUGUGUACCAGUUGGAGGAACAGUCGCUAAAGCUGUUCAGCUGGAGUGGGAUAAAGAAGCUUACGCUAUGAGGGGACGUAGUAAUAUGUUCAAAGAAGAUUAUAGAAAAUUGAAAGAAUUAGAUCCACAAAGAGAACUUUGGAAAUAGUGUGUAUAAAACUGUCACUCAUUGUUUAUUUCACGCAUGUUAUGUAACUGAAUGAAAAAAAUAUUAAUAAAAAACAUGAAGUUUCUGUGCAUGGACAUUUAGAAAGGAAAUAUGUAGUAACUGUCAUAGGAAUUGCUCUUGAGUUGAUAUUUGUCUAGACACUUACCAUUUUACUUACUUUUAGAUUGUUUUUGAUGUGUUAAGAUAAAUAUAGCUUGAAUUCUACAUGGAUGGUACAUUUAUUUUGUCAGGUAGUUUCCAUUUCAAAUUGUACUCUGCAAAUUCAUAUUGAUCUUUCCUGUCUUGUCUUCUGUCAUGGAAGUUUGUGUUUGAAACAAAAUAAAAAAAAAAAUGAUG